CGGGUGAGUAAUGCUUGGGAAUCUAGCUUAUGGAGGGGGAUAACUACGGGAAACUGUAGCUAAUACCGCGUAGAAUCGGGAGAUGAAAGUGUGGGACCUUCGGGCCACAUGCCAUAGGAUGAGCCCAAGUGGGAUUAGGUAGUUGGUGAGGUAAAGGCUCACCAAGCCGACGACCUCUAGCUGGUCUGAGAGGAUGACCAGCCACACUGGGACUGAGACACGGCCCAG
rnacentral:rRNA from 1 species